UACGGGGGGGCAAGCGUUGUUCGGAAUUACUGGGCGUAAAGGGCUCGUAGGCGGCCAACUAAGUCGGAUGUGAAAUCCCCAGGCUCAACCUGGGAACUGCAUCCGAUACUGGAUGGCUUGAAUCCGGGAGAGGGAUGCAGAAUUCCAGGUGUAGCGGUGAAAUGCGUAGAUAUCUGGAGGAAUACCGGUGGCGAAGGCGGCAUCCUGGACCGGCAUUGACGCUGAGGAGCGAAAGCUAGGGGAGCAAACGGG
rnacentral:rRNA from 1 species